rnacentral:lncRNA from 1 species
CGGCACAAGUGCAUCGUAGCCCCCCCCCACCCCCGGUUAUUUUAGCCUCCCAUCCUCUCUCUUUUCACUGCGCAUUUGCCCUGCUCUUAACCGCUUCCUUUGGCAUCUGCGUCUGGCCACGCUUGGAGAAGGCACGCUGCAUUAGCCGCGCUGCUGAUGCGAUCCAGCCCGGCCGUCCUGUUUUUAAGGAGGAAAAACGGCAUGGAAAUUGCAGCUACCUCCACGGCAUAGCAGCAUGCACCACGGCCGGCAUUCACGCUGUGACACACAGAGACCUUUAGCCUCCUAAGCACUUACAGUAACACAUAUAACAAGGGCUAAACUCGCUAAAUGAUUUAAUGCGCAAAGGGAUUGGCGGAGAACGAGGGUCCUCUGGUGCUUACUAGCCAAACCACUGAGCGCUUUGCUCCAAGCACAUCCCUGGUGUAUCUCUAGCUCAGUCCAAGGAUUGAAGAUGGCUUGGUCAAGUGCAGACUAAAAUGCCUUUUUGAAAUUAAAAUGUGAUUGUGCAUCUGGGACUGCCUGGAAUUCUGCUCGUUUUAAUUUGUUCUAAGCUGAAACUCGAGAAGGUUGGAAAAAAAAAAAAAAGGGGGGUUACCUGAAGUGUAACGUCAGGGCGAAAAAACCAUCCCUGGCAAGGUCAGGGAUCGUGCGUCAAGUUUCUUUUUGGUCGAGAGUUCCUCGCGGCGACCGAGAAGCGCCUGCGGCUCAGCUCUCUGAGACGCCCGAUUACACAACAAGGUCGGUGCCAAACGCGUCCCAGCCAACUCCGAUCCGGCAAGCUGGCCCCGCAAGCGGACUCUCCCCCCCCGGCUGACCGGUGGCAGCAGCGAGAGUCUACCUAGAGCAGCUCGAGCUCUCCAUCACCUACUUUUUGCUCCUGUAAAGGCACGCUCCUCGAAGAAGCGAUGGCAGAAGGAGAGGGGACGGUGCUCCUCGGCAGCUCUGAUGAAGGCGAGGGGACGCGCCGAGCGAAUCCGGCAGCUGCUAAAGAUUAUAAGCCUUAAUUACGUCAAAGCCCUUGGAAACUGCAGCCAUGGGGGGGAACAGCGAGAGCUUUCCAGCGGACUCCUGGGGAAGGUGCUGCUUUUGGAUUUAGCAUAAUUAAUAUCAAGUUCAGCCAAGCGAGUCUGGGAGGCUGAUGGUCUCCCAAAUGGUUAUUUAAUGUGGCUUGAUUAUUUAUUUUUUAAAGCUUUUUUUUCUCUUCUCUCUCUCUCUCCUUGUAAAUGAAUUUGGCACUGGUGAAAGGUGUUGGAUUGACAGCUCUGGAAAUAUAAGCCCUCAAGGAAAACUGUUUUGGAGUCCUGUAGGUAACAACAAUAUAUAUGUAAUCCAUGCGUAGAGGCAAUCGUUUGCAGCAGCGAAGCCGCGGUGACAGUAACAGCUGCUUUUUGCUCUAAAUUAAAAAGUAGAUAUUGCUUAGAGACCACAGGGUUUAGACAGAGCGUUGUGCAUCCUUUCAGCAUCAGGUCCAGGUCGCGCUGUUUAGAAAUGGGUGUGCUUGGCUGUGAACGUGAGUUUAAGCCAGGUCGCGUUCCCCUUCUGGUUCUGCCUUUGGCCACGAGCGAUAUCGCUUGGGCUUCUCCUUCUGCGAGGCCGGAGGCGGGGUGGGGGGGGCAUCGCUUUCCUGCGAAGGAGAGAGAAUAAAACGUACUGAGAUUAUGAAGUGAUCA